UCAGUUCAGACUGCAGGCUGCAACUCGCCUGCACGAAGUCGGAAUUGCUAGUAAUCGUAGGUCAGCAUACUACGGUGAAUACGUUCCCGGGCCUUGUACACACCGCCCGUCAAACCAUGAGAGUUGGCAACACCCGAAGUCGGUAGUCUAACCGCAAGGAGGACGCCGCCGAAGGUGGGGUUGAUGAUUAGGGUUAAGUCGUAACAAGGUACC
rnacentral:rRNA from 1 species